UACGUAGGGUGCAAGCGUUGUCCGGAAUUAUUGGGCGUAAAGAGCUUGUAGGCGGUUUGUCGCGUCUGCUGUGAAAAUCCGGGGCUCAACCCCGGACUUGCAGUGGGUACGGGCAGACUAGAGUGUGGUAGGGGAGACUGGAAUUCCUGGUGUAGCGGUGAAAUGCGCAGAUAUCAGGAGGAACACCGGUGGCGAAGGCGGGUCUCUGGGCAGUAACUGACGCUGAGGAGCGAAAGCGUGGGGAGCGAACAGG
rnacentral:rRNA from 1 species